GACAGAGGGUGCAAACGUUGCUCGGAAUCACUGGGCGUAAAGGGCGCGUAGGCGGUGUCGCAAGUCCGUGGUGAAAUCUCUAGGCUCAACUUAGAGACUGCCGCGGAAACUGCGGUGCUUGAGUGUGGGAGAGGUGCGUGGAAUUCCCGGUGUAGCGGUGAAAUGCGUAGAGAUCGGAAAGAACACCAACGGCGAAAGCACUCUGCUGGGCCGACACUGACACUGAGAGACGAAAGCUAGGGGAGCGAAUGGG
rnacentral:rRNA from 1 species